ensembl:lncRNA
GGAAGGCAAAUUUGACUUUGUGUUUUGUCGCUCUGGGGUAAAACAGGAAGGAUAGGGUCCCCUGAGCCAGGAUCGGUGACAGCUGCGGAUCUUGCCUCUCUCCGCGCUCAGAAAUGCAGUGCUCUGUCGCCACCUGGUGGGAGGAGCAGAUAAUACGAGGGGUGGCCCCUUCGGAUGCGACCACUCACCCUACCACAGAGAGAAUGUUCCCAUUCCAACCCAGAGGAAGAGGCAUCAAUGGCCUGCAUGGUGUUGUGGAACCCACAGUGACUCUCCAUACAGACUGUCCCUGAGCCAACUAAGUAUUGAAACCUCAACAAACUGUGAGCUAAAUAAACC